rnacentral:lncRNA from 1 species
GGAACAGAAGAUGAAGCAGGCCACUGUAAGAGCUGGGUUCGUGCAAGACCUGGUUCUCUCCACCCUUUUUAGCGAUUAGUGUAAUCAGGCUUUUAUAGCGAACAUAUGGUAAUGGUAAUCGAUCUACUCUGUUCCUGAUAAGAGGCGGAAAUGGGGUCCUUAGUGUUAAAUGCAAUACAUAUGGACAACCCAUCAUAGGCUGCUUCUUGAUCAGAGAGAUGUAUUUAUUUUGAAAGAAGUCGAUGGCUACUCAGUAUUCUGCGAUUGUCCAUCGUAAUGCUUAUGUUUUCAUAAUAAUCUAUCUUAUGCUUUUAGACAAUUAAAUUAUUAGGCCAUAAUAAAGAUAUGUUGGACAAUGAUUUUCUGCGUAAACAGGCUCUCAUGUAAAGUUGUAAUUCUGAGAUGACACUAAGGUAGCUUGGUAUGUAUAAAUUGGCCACUAUUGACGUGAACGGGAAGACCUUUAGGAUCAUUUUUUUUUCCUUUUCUUUUUGUGGCCACUUGCUGCCUUAGCACAAACACAUCUGUGCGAACCAUAUGUGAUCACAAACUGACGCAAAUCAUCUACCCACUUGUCACUUGUGAGUGAAAAUGCCCAGAGACUUAUGAAUCCUUCCUUCUGGACACAUACAUUCUUCAUACUAGAUUUUUGAAUGACAAAAGUUAUAACCAUACUUCCAAUUAAAAUUUACAACACAACAAGUUAGCUAUGAAUGAUGUUUCCAACUCAACCAAUGGUCUGUACUGUGGAGAACCCAUGAACCCAGUUACCCCAACCACUGACAUUGUUGAAAGUGGCAUAUGAUAACAAUAUUCAUACAAUGUGGGGGCAGAUUGUAAUUUUGUUCAAGAGCAACAUCAUAUAAAGUGCACAACUAAAACCCUAGUUUUAUCUUAAAAGAAGUGUGGCCAUUCAAUAUCUUCACAGUUCCAAAGAGAAAAAAUAGUGUUUAAGAUCUAGAAAUUUAGAAAAAUAUAUCUUGAAACAAUGGAGAUUUUACUUAGAUACUUUGAUCCUAUGUUGAGUAUGUUGAGAAUGGGUGGUAUCGGAAACAUACAGAUUACUCUGCAGAUGAUGCGCUUUCAUCUGUUUCUUCCAAAAGCAGUUUGAGCUAGCUCAAUGGAGGCAGAUCUGUGUUGCUUUGGGUUGCUAGCUUUCUUUUCAGCUGUUUGAGCUAGCUCAAUGGAGGCAGAUCUGUGUUGCUUUGGGUUGCUAGCUUUCUUUUCAGCUGAAGUAGUGAGUUGGAUAUUUGAUUAUUUAUUUGAUAACAUAGUUCUUCUUAUGGUAUUUCCCUGAAAGAAAGAGAGUAAUAGUGUUUCCAUACAGGAGUUUCGGGUCUUCUGUCAAGUACAAGAAGAGUCCAAUGGAAUAGCAGCUCCUCCUCUUCAGUAUGUACUAAAUCUCUCCAGAAAUAUUUUGAUAUAUGUAUUUGUUUUCAGUUUGGUUGGGAAAUAAACAUUUAUCUAGCUUGAUCCUAGAAAUAGAAUGAUCCAUAGGAAGUGUCCAACUGUGAUAUCUACUAGAAUGAUCCAUAGGACGUAUUUUUUUUCUUGUUCAUUAUGUGAGUAUGCGCUGCACAAGUGGAGGUAUUAUUAGGUAUGGUGCCUGGGCCUUAUAUAUAUAAAUAAGGUAAGGGUAAAACCGGAAUUAUUAGUAUGUUUGUGACGGUGAUAGCGUCACGUCAGGUUUUGCAAACCACCUCGUUUUAGGGGCGUCUUAUAAAGUAGUUAAGAUAUGAUAUCUCUAUUACUUGACACCCCAAAAGGAGGUGGUUUGCGAAGCCUGACGUGUCACCAUCACAAACAAAAUGAUAAUUCCGGUUUUGGUUUUACCUUUACCUUAUUUAUAUAAGCAGGCUGUAUGAAUGCCCAUGCCCAAUAAUACCUUUAUGCACGCACAAACGUGCAUGUUCACAUAGUAUAACAUGGACCAUUGUAAACUAGGAUAUGGUAUCAUUCUUUAGUAUGUUAAGAACUUAUAAAGAGAAAGUGACGGUUAUUUACCUACCCUUAACCCCAUUUGGGCUUAUCACUCACAACGAUAACUUGAUUAUACCAUCAACCAAACUCGUUGGUACGACCCUCUCCUACUAGUGAUGCUAUUUUGUUUCUACAAUUUAUUACAUUUCGAGAAGCAAUUGCCAAUUUGAAUGGCCAAUUUUAUUACUAGUUUACAAUAUUUAUGGUGCUUGAUCCAAGAGUGGCUUGUUUGGAUCUAUGACGGCCUUGGUAGACGUAUAUGUAAUAAUCAACAUAUCAACGCCUUUUACCAAUUUUGUUUAUUUGGCGUCGAAAUUGUGCGGGAUUUUACAAUUAGCCUGUCAAUUUUAUGUGUACUAGGGUCAUCCAUAUCAAGUGUAUGCUACCGUAUUUAUUCAAAUGAGAUGUCUGACACAAGGGUCAGCCAUUUUAAAGUGUCUUUGCAACAAUGUAUCUUUAGAUAAUUACUCGUUUUGUUCUUCCAGGCUUCCAGCUGCUUGACGAAGUAGAAUUUGUCUGAAUUUCUAAUAUGUUUGAGAUCAAAUACCUUUUCUUUCUUGUAGUUCCAUGAGAGAACUUGAGGCCUUCUUUGAUUGCGAGAAUGGGUGGUAUCGGAAAGUUUUAAGGGCGGUGGAGUCUCUUAUUUUCAUGCACAAAAUGACCACAAAUACUUGCUUGCAAGGUAUUGUUGAACUACAUGCUCAUAGUCUUGACUAAUUCAUUUGAUUUCACUGUGACAAAUUGUCUUUGAGGUUGUUAACCAAAACAAAAUGUUGAUGUCAACCAAAACAAUGUCUUGCUCAGGAAUCAUGUAGGGUGCAACCAUUCAAAUAAGAUUCUGUGGAAGGUUGCAUCACUGUUCCAAUAGGGCUACCCAGGAUGAUGAUCAUGUAAGGAACAUGAGGAAUACAAUGUAGGCGCAGCCAUAAUAUAAGUCCAAUUGUCAGUAUAUAAGUUAAGUUCAUGCUAUAAAAGAUAAACUUGUAGUUUCGACCUUUUGUUGAGUUUUGAAGAGUGGGAACAGAAGAGGAAGCAGGCUACCUUUAGAGCUGGGUUUGUUCAAGACCUGGUUCUCAUUACCCCUUUUAGCGACUAAUGAGCCGAAAAUGGGGUCUUUAAUCCUUACUGUUAAGUGCAAUACAUUUAGACAACCCAAUUGUCUUAUUAGGGAUGUCUUUCAUAUAUGUAGAAUUAAGUUUAUUAAUUUGUUUUUCUUUAUUAACAAGGAAUACAAACUAUCAUAAAAUAGUGAUCUAUUAACAAUCAGUUUAUCUUCAAUCAUGUUUCUGUUGAACGAGUGUUUUUGCAGUGAUAUGGUGGUAAACAAGUAUAAUUUUGCUGAUAAAUGUUGAGUACAGCAACUCUGACAGUCUGACUUACGCUAAUUAUAAUUCAUAUACUCUUGGUGUGUUUUUUUCUUUUUUGUCAAGAACUACUCUACUAUAGACCACUCAGUCAACUUUAUGAUUGUCAAAUUUCAUCAUGUAGAUCAUGUUGAUAUUCAUUUUGUUAUAGAUUCUAGUUUUUCAUUUCUCGGUUUUUGUUUGUGUUUUGACUCUUAAUCUUGUCAUACAUGCAAGGAGCUGACCUUGUAGGUUUUCAACUAGUUCCUAUAUAAUUUGUAUAGUACUCACCGGUAAAAAUGGUGAAUUCGGAGAAUUCGUAUUUUUUAUUCUCUGAAACCAAUGCCUCCUAUCUAGGCUGUAGAAUAGUUUCUUUCUGUUUCCCAUUUGUAUAGGUGUAUAGCUUAUGAGAAACUGGCAUCCUCAUCUAACUGGUCAUAAUAGGUCAUGGCUGCGAGUUUUUUCUAACCUUUCUUGAUGUAAAACUUGCAGUUUUGUCCCUUCGUUGAGUUAUAAAGAGCGGGAACAAAAGAUGAAGUAGGCCACUAUAAGAGCUGGGUUCGUGCAACACCUGGUUCUCUCCACCCUUUUUAGCAAUUACUGUAAUUAGGCUUUGCGAACAUAUUGUAAUGUAUCUACUCUGUUCCUGAUAAGAGGCAGAAAUGGGGUCCUUAGUGUUUUAUAUGGACAACCCAUUUGCCAAAUUAGUAUGUUUCUAGAGGCAGCGAUGUUCUGCUGCUGCAUUAUCAGAGAGAUGUAUUUAUGUUGAAAGAAGUAAUAGUUCUGUCAGGGCUAAGUUUGCCGAACCUCGUGGCAGCACUGAAGAAACUGCAAUACUAAAGGGUCAUAACUUGUGCCAGUUGAAAUUACUUUUUUUUCGUUUGCU